rnacentral:ribozyme from 1 species
AAAAACAAACAAACAAAAAAUACACCAUUUCCACCACCCUUGAGUUUUUUAGUUUUUCAGUAUUUAUUUUUUUAUGUGUUCU